rnacentral:rRNA from 1 species
AUCCUGGUGGCGAGUGGCGAACGGGUGAGUAAUACAUGCGGAACGUGCCCUGUCGUGGGGGAUAACUAGUCGAAAGAUUAGCUAAUACCGCAUACGACCUGAGGGUGAAAGCGGGGGACCGUAAGGCCUCGCGCGAUAGGAGCGGCCGAUGUCUGAUUAGCUAGUUGGUGGGGUAAAGGCCCACCAAGGCGACGAUCAGUGCCUGGUCUGAUAGGACGAUCAGCCACACUGGGACUGAGACACAGGCCGUACUCCUACAGGAGGCAACAAUGGGGAAUUGGGGACAAUGGGGGCUCCCCUGAUCCAGCAUGCCGCGUGUGUGAAGAAGGCCUUCGGGUUGUAAAGCACUUUUGUCCGGAAAGAAAUCCCUUGCCCUAAUACGGCGGGGGGAUGACGGUACCGGAAGAAUAAGCACCGGCUAACUACGUGCCAGCAGCCGCGGUAAUACGUAGGGUGCGAGCGUUAAUCGGAAUUACUGGGCGUAAGGCGUGCGCAGGCGGUUUUGUAAGACAGGCGUGAAAUCCCCGAGCUCAACUUGGGAAUGGCGCUUGUGACUGCAAGGCUAGAGUAUGUCAGAGGGGGGUAGAAUUCCACGUGUAGCAGUGAAAUGCGUAGAGAUGUGGAGGAAUACCGAUGGCGAAGGCAGCCCCCUGGGACGUCACUGACGCUCAUGCACGAAAGCGUGGGGAGCAAACAGGAUUAGAUACCCUGGUGGGUCCACGCCCUAAACGAUGUCAACUAGUUGUUGGGGAUUCAUUUCUUCAGUAACGUAGCUAACGCGUGAAGUUGACCGCCUGGGGAGUACGGUCGCAAGAUUAAAACUCAAAGGAAUUGACGGGGACCCGCACAAGCGGUGGAUGAUGUGGAUUAAUUCUAUGCAACGCGAAAAACCUUACCUACCCUUGACAUGCCACU